CUUUGCUACCGCCAGGCUCCUGACCCCAGCUUGGACAGCAGGCCGCCGAGCGCCCCUGACGCCCGUUACCGAGAUGGCUGCGCAGAAGGGUAACCCAGAAUGACAUCUAUGCCUUUCAUCUGUAAAAUAACAACAACAGUGGGCUCUGGGAACACAGACUAAGACUCCUUAACCACAGCCAUAGGAGUGGCUGUGGGGCUGUGAUCUCUCCUAGAACCUCAGAGGCAUGAAGCUAGAAUAUCUUCCCCUUCAAGGAGAAUAAGCCAAGAACACAAGAAGAUCAGAGGCUGUAAGGAGCUGCUAUAAGGCCUUCUCCCAGUCACUUCCCUCUCUCUCCUGAGAGGCUGUCUUGAAUGAAUUUCUCAUCACUUACCAGAUUCUGAUGAGGGUAUAUGAGACAAGGACCUGGGGAGUUGGCCUCUUUGGUUCAUUCUUUGUACUGUUUAUCUAUGGUUGUUGCGGCCUUUGUUGAUGACAUUCAGCAUUGACUUCUUGGGUAAGGUAUUCAGUAGUUAAGAUUCAAUGACUCCAGUGAAAGGUAUGUUUCCAUCGUGAUGUUCUUCUUCUGGACAAUAAGUGAAAAGAGCAUGUGAGUACCUCUCUCACUCCCAGCAAAUAAUUGUUGUGUCACCUCCACAUGUUUCUUCACGAUUCGAGGCUUUGAUUUCCCCUGCAAGACAAAAUGCAAUGAAGUGAUACAGAAAAAAAGAAAUUCUAUGCUGUCAUCACACUAGACCAUGAUGUUGAUUUAUGGAUGGUCUGCUUUCUUAUAUGCACUUAAUAUUUUUGUACAAGCAAACCUGAAAAGUGUCAAAAUCCCCUUUAACAGAUUAACAGGCUGAGAUGGGUUAAAGUGAGCAAGCCGGGAAGUGGUGGAGCUGGGAUCCACACCCUGGUCUGUCUGAGUCCAGAUGUAAUCAUCUUGCAUUCACUAUGGCAUGUUUCCCUUAUGUUAAGGGUUGCUGACAUAGACAGUGCAUGUCAUUCCUUUUGGUAUGGUCUUCCUCCUUUCUAGCUUUUUUCUGCCUGGAAGAUCCAGGCACCCAAGAGAAUGGAGCUUCCAUGUAAAUUUGCAGAAUCCCUAGGAUGAAAGCGGAGAGGAUCUACCCUGAAACCAACAAGUCUAGGAUGCACAUCUCUGCCUUUUUUUCAGAAUUAGGAAGGGGCAGGCAGAUGGGCAAUUGACAGGAAUAGUAGAAGCAUCCUCGGGGAAGUUGGCUACUUUACUUAGUGAGAAAGCAAUGGAAAGUGACAUUUGUAACUGAGUUUUAAGUGAAGUACAGUCCUAAGAGAGGAGCUCUGAAAAACAGCUGUUACCUGAGAUUGGGAAUGUUAAAGACCUUCUCAGAGCCUGACUGUACUCACAGCUGGACCUAGCUAUCAGAAGAGGGACUGCAACAUACCUGAGAAACUUUCAGAAUACUUAACGGAAGCAGAGUCAGGGGAAGUGAUUUUGAUAGUAGUCCAUGAGAAAAAAAUACGGUGUUUUAAAAUGCAAAUGAACUAAAAUUUAAAUCCUGCUCUCUCAGUAGCUAUGCAGCCUUAGGCGAGUUAAUAUCUUUGACCUUAGUAUUUCUCAGGUGUAAAGAGGGAUAAUUACCUACUCAGAACUUCACCUCUCCCAAGAAAGCUUUCCUGACCAUGUGCUGGCCCUUCCUUUACAUUGGGAUUAAAGUACCCCCCCCCGUUUUUCCAGGCUUUCUUGACUUUAAUUCUGUCAUAGCUCUAAUUAAGAACCUCUGUAAUGAUCUGUCUGCAAGCUUGUGAGAAAUUUGAGGACUGGGAACCAGCCUGAAACAUGUCUGUUCCCCUCUGAGUCAACACAGUGCCUGGGAUCUGGUGUCCAGUAGGGAUUUAAAGCAUAUUGAUUGAAUGAGAAAUGAUGACAGGAUCUACAUGGAUCACAAAGGAUAGUUGUUAUUUUACCUGUUAACUAUUUAAUAGCGAAAUUAAAUGAAAUAUGAAUUAACCUAGGACCAGGGAAGGUGGGGUAAGUUGUGUCUUUCACAUCAACCUUCAUAUGUUCCCCAAUUUUUUCUUCCUUCAUGUACCUAGGACACUCUUGUUCAAACACAAAGGUGGUUUUAUUUUGGGUCUAUACUAGCUAGUUCCCUAGAAAGGUCUUAAAUACAAAAUGAAUGGAAUACAAAAUAACCUCCCUCAUUGUUUUUUUUCCCGGACAAAUGACAGGAUGCAUACAGAACUGCUACUUUUGUGAUGUUGCAAGUAAUGGUAUAGAUGUGCACAAAUCAUGGAUGUGGUCCCAGUGAUCCAUGGAAAUGUGAAGUCCAGAAGCUCCUCGUCUUAGAGGUUGUUCUCCUGCUCCUUUGGUCAAGUGCUGGAAAAUUCAACACUAAUUUCUGCAGAGGUAGAGGAAUGGAGUUUGUUUCAAGUCCUUGUGAAGGGAUAGAAUGAUUGGUACUUACAGCUG
rnacentral:lncRNA from 1 species